rnacentral:rRNA from 1 species
AACGAACGCUGGCGGCAGGCUCAACACAUGCAAGUCGAGCGCCCCGCAAGGGGAGCGGCAGACGGGUGAGUAACGCGUGGGAAUCUACCCAUCUCUACGGAAUAACGCAUGGAAACGUGUGCUAAUACCGUAUACGUCCUUCGGGAGAAAGAUUUAUCGGAGAUGGAUGAGCCCGCGUUGGAUUAGCUAGUUGGUGGGGUAAAGGCCUACCAAGGCGACGAUCCAUAGCUGGUCUGAGAGGAUGAUCAGCCACACUGGGACUGAGACACGGCCCAGACUCCGACGGGAGGCAGCAGUGGGGAAUAUUGGACAAUGGGCGCAAGCCUGAUCCAGCCAUGCCGCGUGAGUGAUGAAGGCCCUAGGGUUGUAAAGCUCUUUCACCGGUGAAGAUAAUGACGGUAACCGGAGAAGAAGCCCCGGCUAACUUCGUGCCAGCAGCCGCCGUAACAC